rnacentral:lncRNA from 1 species
CCAGGACAGGAAAGUGCGUGAUUUACAGCUAGAGGGAUAGGCGCUGUCCCGGAGCCCGUCCUGGGCCAGGGAGCAGGAGAGGGAGGGACUACAGUUCCCGACGCGCUGCGGGGCGGGCGGAGAUCGUGCGCUUCGGCGCCAGUUGCACGGCCUUAGCAGCCAGUGGCGGCUCCCCUGCUCCUGUAACAGUCCCCUUGUCUUCUGACCUUUCGCUCCUCGGUCAUGUGUCCUCGCCGGUCGCCGCGGCAGCCAGUGAUGCCCGAGCGGCGGGUUCCCAGGCCCAGGUGUGGGCGCCACCGCCCACCAUGCGCCAAGCCCAGAGCCUGGUUGAAUCGUUCGCCACCUUGUCUACCCAUUUUGGCCAUUAUCCUGCCACCUCCAAAUCCUGUUUUUGACACUUCUCGGGAGAGAGAGAAAACGGAAAGAUAAAGGAAUAAACUCCUCGUGGUCGUAGUUAGUGGGUAAAUUCAGAUCUCGUUUGAACCGAGGUUUUUCUUAUCUCCAGCCACCGUAUCCACCACCACCAGAAUCGUCUUUUUAGUCAUCACAGCUGGUCGCCGUCAGUACCUUGUUCAGAAGCCUCUCGCAGCUUCCAUCGUGUGGUUAUACAAUCCAAAUUCCUUAUAAAGUCCAAAUUCAAGAGGAGGAAUGCACGUUUAGUUAAGUUAAUGUCUAGACCUUACCAGCCAAUUUCUAGCUCCUCAGUAUGGAAAUUGCAACUGAAAACACCCCUUCCAAAAAAAGCAGUCUGCAUUUUUCUCUGAGUUUUCUUCUCCAAAUUUCGCACCCCUGACCUUGCUUACACACUCUGGAUACCACCUGCUGUGGAGUGGCGGAAGCAGACAUCCAGCGAUAGCUAAGUUUCCUGUCGUUGACACCCAAGCAAGACAGGCGUGUACCUAACUGAGGACCUGCCGGUGAUAGAAGUCUCAGCUUUUCUCAGAGACAGAUGAGUCUUCCCUUUAAAUGCUGCAAAGUGCUGCAUAGUAGAUGUUAAAUGAAAGUCAGAAAGAAUCAAAUGUGCUGCAAAUAAUUGAAGGGACUGGGGAGCCACGUGCCACCUCUCCUGCCAGAGUUCUGUUCAGCUGUGCCAACAGAUAUACACAAGGAAACCAGAAGAUAAGAGGCAAAGUCCCAAACCAGAAUGCAGUCCCCUGGCCAGUGACCCUAGAGAUGACGCUGGCUCCGGCGGUGGCUCCAGGUUCCUGGAAAGGAACGCAAGCUCACUGCAAGCACACUGGAAAGGCAUGGACAAGGACGGAAACACAGUUGCUCCCGAUCUCAGGACAGAGAAGCCCCCUCUCAUAGCAUCCAAGCUCCAGGACAGACCUGCCCGCCUCAGCUCCUGAAACCCGGCCUGGGGUGCUCUCCAGCCAGCUCUUUUCUGACAGUGCUGAAAGGAGACAUCAUGAUGCAGGGAUGGCAAGAAUGAAAUCACAUCUUUUAAGGGAAUGAGAGAGACUGGUUUGCGGAUCAAGAGGAAACAGCAUGAAAGAGCUCUGAGGGCUUCAUCCUGGGUAGGAAGCCACUUUGCCCACUGAAUAUUUUCUUCUCACACAAAGGACUUGCAUGAGGGAACCGAGAAAGGAAACUGGGAACACACAGCCACAAGAGGCAGUGACUCCUAACUGUCCUCAGGUUCAAUGCCACACCCAUCGAACUAAGAAUGUGCCAGCGCCAUCAUCAGAAAAAUGUUAGGAAUUACAUCUCAUAAACUAAAAAAGAGCUAGAAAACCGUGACACCAUCAGAGCAUCUUCCUGACACCUGCACCCAGGCCAGGAAAUGGCCUGCCAAGGUGCCCUCCAUCUCUGUGUCCUCCACUGGGUCCCCUAGACUCACAGGGUCACUGUGGCUUCCAUUCCCAUGAGAUGCACUGCCUGUGCCUUGCCCUCCAUCC